AAUGUAUAAUGAAAUUAUUAAGAUAACCUAUGUAUUAUCUCAUUCAUGAACUAUAUCAGUAACGAUAUAUUCAAUAUAACCUAUAAAUCAAAAUUACUUAAAAAUAAAUAUUUAAUAUUAAGAAUAAAAUAAAAUUAUAUCUCUUUUAAUUUUUUAAACUCAAGAAAAUUUUAUAAUUUAUAAUGAAAACACAAAAUUGGAAAGAAUUGCCUUUAAGCAAUUCUGUACUUAAAACUAUUGAAGAAUUAAAAUUUACUUAUAUGACACCUGUACAGGCAGCUUCUAUACCAUUAUUAUUAAAAGGAAAAGAUGUUGCAGCAGAAGCAGUAACAGGGAGUGGAAAAACAAUUGCUUUUUUAGUUCCAUUGUUAGAAAUAUUACAGAAAAGAAAAGAAAAAUGGAAACCUACAGAAAUUGGAGGAAUAAUAAUUAGUCCUACAAGAGAAUUAGCUAUACAAAUAAAUGAAGUUUUACAAAAGUUUUUAAACAAUAUACCAAAUUUAAAACAAAUAUUACUUGUCGGUGGUACAACAAUUGCAGAAGAUGCAGACAGACUUAAAGCAGGAGCAAAUAUUAUUGUAGCUACACCUGGUAGAUUAGAAGAUAUAUUAUCUAAUUGUAAAAUCAUAAACUUAGCAGGAUAUGUAAAAUCUUUGGAAAUACUGAUCUUAGAUGAAGCUGAUAGAUUAUUAGAUCUAGGUUUUUCUACAGUAUUAGAUACAAUUUUACUUUAUUUACCACGUCUUAGAAGAACAGGUUUAUUUUCUGCAACUCAAACAAAAGAAUUACAACAAUUAAUAAGAGCUGGACUUAGAAAUCCAUCUUUGAUAACUGUUAAAGAAAAACCAAAUAUUUCUACACCAUCAAAUUUAAAAAAUAAUUUUGUUAUUGUAAAUACUGAAUACAAAUUUUCUACAAUGAUAGAUUUUAUUCAGCAUGAAGGAACUAAUUUAAAAUAUAUGAUUUUUUUAUCUACUUGUGCAUGUGUUGAUUAUUUUAAUCAUAUUGUACAAGCAAUGUUACCAUCUGUACAAGUAUUUGCAAUUCAUGGUAAAAUGAAAAAUAAGCGAUAUAAAAUAUUUAAUGAAUUCCGAAACAUCAAAAAUGGUAUUUUAAUUUGCACAGAUGUAAUGGCUCGUGGUAUUGAUAUUUUAGAAGUGGAUUGGGUAUUACAAUAUGAUCCUCCUUGUUCAGCUAGUAAUUUUAUUCAUAGAUGUGGUAGAACUGCUAGGAUAGGCAAUGAAGGAAAUGCAUUAUUAUUCCUCUUAGAAACAGAAGAUGCAUAUGUAGACUUUAUUAAAAGAAAUCAAAAAGUAGAAAUACAACAAAUAGUUUUAGAAUCAUCCAUAAUUUCAUAUGAAAAGUGUUUAAAAUAUAUGAGAGAUUUACAAAAGCAAGAUCGAUUUCUUUUUGAUAAGGCUAAUAGAGCAUUUGUAUCAUAUAUCCAAGCAUAUAAUAAACAUGAGUGUAAUUUAAUAUUAAGAUUGAAAGAUAUUGAUUUAGGAAAGCUUGCAAUGAGUUUUGGUUUAUUGCGAAUGCCUCGUAUGCCAGAACUUAAAGGAAAAGAUACAUCGAGUUUUGAAGAAGAACAUGUUGAUAUCAAUUCCAUUGCAUAUUCAGACAAACAAAAAGAAAAAAGUCGCUUAGAAAAGUUAAAAAUUUUUCAAGACACUGGAACAUGGCCUAAGAUACAUAAAAAUAAACGCAAACAAACGGAACCAUGGUCUGAAGCUAAAAAGAAAAAAUUAGAAAGACAAGAAAAUCGUAAAAAAAGAAAAGAAAAAAAACUAAAACAAAAAAUGUUAGUAAACUCAGCAAAAAGACAAAAAAGAAAGAUAAAUGAACAAGAUAUUGAAGAUCUAGCAAAAGAUAUAGCAUUAAUUAAGAAAUUAAAAAAAAAGAAGAUUUCUCAAGAAGAAUUUGAUGCUGCUUUUGGAAUUAAUUAAAAAAUUUAAAUUAAAUAAAUAAAUAGAUAAUUACAAAAAAUAUUAUUAUAAUGAUAUAUUUUGUAUAUUUAUAUAUAGAAAAUAUUAUCAAUAAAUAAAAAAAAGCAUCAAGUAUAGUGUGUAGAGGGAAAGAAUCAUAAGUACUUUGCUGCAUCAUGGUGAUGAGUCACACGUUUGUGCAAGUGUCAAGUGACUUCAAGAAAUACUUAUUUCUUUAAUAUUUAUUU